CACCUGGAGCAGAACCUGGUGGCUUACCAAUAUGGCCACCAUGUAUAUUACACAACGAUAAAGAAUGUGGAACCCAAGCAAGAACUGAAGGUUUGGUACGCUGCAUCCUAUGCUGAGUUUGUGAACCAGAAAAUUCAUGACAUUUCUGAGGAAGAAAGGAAAGUUCUUCGAGAGCAAGAGAAGAAUUGGCCC